rnacentral:rRNA from 1 species
UGCGCGUUUCCGUAGCAAUACGGAGAUGGCGCACGGCGCACGGGUGCGUAACACGUGGGUAAUCUGCCCUCUGAUGGGGAAUAACCCGCCGAAAGGCGGGCUAAUUCCGCAUAACAUUCCUUGGACUCCGGUUCGAGGAUUCAAAGGCGUAAGUCGUCGGAGGUGGAGCCCGCGCACGAUUAGCUAGUUGGUGAGGUAAUGGCUCACCAAGGCUAUGAUCGUUAGCUGGUCUGAGAGGAUGGCCAGCCACACUGGAACUGAGACACGGUCCAGACUCCUACGGGAGGCAGCAGUGGGGAAUCUUGCACAAUGGGCGAAAGCCUGAUGCAGCGACGCCGCGUGGGGGAUGAAGCUUCUCGGAGUGUAAACCCCUUUCGACCGGGACGAAUAUCCGCCUUUGGCGGAGGUGACGGUACCGGUAUAAGAAGCCCCGGCUAACUACGUGCCAGCAGCCGCGGUAAGACGUGGGGGGCCAGCGUUGCUCGGAAUUACUGGGUGUAAAGGGUUCGUAGGCGGUGUGGCAAGUCGGGAGUGAAAUCUCUGGGCUUAACUCAGGGGCUGCUUCCGAAACUGCCGUGCUAGAGUGUGGGAGAGGCGCGUGGAAUUGCAGGUGUAGCGGUGAAAUGCGUAGAUAUCUGCAGGAACACCCGUGGCGAAAGCGGCGCGCUGGACCACUACUGACGCUGAGGAACGAAAGCUUAGGGAGCAAACAGGAUUAGAUACCCUGGUAGUCCUAGCCCCUAAACGAAUCAGGACUUGGGGGUGCCCCCCGUUCCGGGUGUCCCUCCCCGGAACUUACCCGUUUAGUCCUGCCCCCUGGGGGAAUACCG